CUACGGAGGAUGCGAGCGUUAUCCGGAUUUAUUGGGUUUAAAGGGAGCGUAGGUGGGAUAUUAAGUCAGCUGUGAAAGUUUGGGGCUCAACCUUAAAAUUGCAGUUGAUACUGGUUUCCUUGAGUACGGUAUAGGUGGGCGGAAUUCGUGGUGUAGCGGUGAAAUGCUUAGAUAUCACGAAGAACUCCGAUCGCGAAGGCAGCUCACCGGGCCGGAACUGACACUGAUGCUCGAAAGUGCGGGUAUCAAACAGGAUUAGAUACCCUGGUAGUCCGCACAGUAAACGAUGAAUACUAGCUGUUUGCGAUAUACAGUAAGUGGCACAGCGAAAGCGUUAAGUAAUCCACCUGGGGAGUACGCCGGCAACGGUGAAACUUAAAUGAAUUGGCGGGG
rnacentral:rRNA from 1 species